rnacentral:rRNA from 6 species
AGUUUGAUCCUGGCUCAGGACGAACGCUGGCGGCGUGCUUAAUACAUGCAAGUCGAGCGGACAGAUGGGAGCUUGCUCCCUGAUGUUAGCGGCGGACGGGUGAGUAACACGUGGGUAACCUGCCUGUAAGACUGGGAUAACUCCGGGAAACCGGGGCUAAUACCGGAUGGUUGUUUGAACCGCAUGGUUCAGACAUAAAAGGUGGCUUCGGCUACCACUUACAGAUGGACCCGCGGCGCAUUAGCUAGUUGGUGAGGUAACGGCUCACCAAGGCRACGAUGCGUAGCCGACCUGAGAGGGUGAUCGGCCACACUGGGACUGAGACACGGCCCAGACUCCUACGGGAGGCAGCAGUAGGGAAUCUUCCGCAAUGGACGAAAGUCUGACGGAGCAACGCCGCGUGAGUGAUGAAGGUUUUCGGAUCGUAAAGCUCUGUUGUUAGGGAAGAACAAGUGCCGUUCAAAUAGGGCGGCACCUUGACGGUACCUAACCAGAAAGCCACGGCUAACUACGUGCCAGCAGCCGCGGUAAUACGUAGGUGGCAAGCGUUGUCCGGAAUUAUUGGGCGUAAAGGGCUCGCAGGCGGUUUCUUAAGUCUGAUGUGAAAGCCCCCGGCUCAACCGGGGAGGGUCAUUGGAAACUGGGGAACUUGAGUGCAGAAGAGGAGAGUGGAAUUCCACGUGUAGCGGUGAAAUGCGUAGAGAUGUGGAGGAACACCAGUGGCGAAGGCGACUCUCUGGUCUGUAACUGACGCUGAGGAGCGAAAGCGUGGGGAGCGAACAGGAUUAGAUACCCUGGUAGUCC